AUGCCUCCCACCACCAAGUUCCUCCUCCUCCUCCUCCUCCCCGUGGCAACAGCCGCCGCAACCUUUGCUCUCGGCCAUGGCACCGGCACCGGCACAGCUGUCUGCGUGCCGCGGGAGCGUGAUGCCCUGCUGGCGUUCAAACGCGGUGUCACACAUGACCCCUCGGGCCGCCUUGCCUCGUGGCGGCGAGGCAGCGACUGCUGCCGGUGGAGGGGCGUAAGGUGCAGCAACCGGACUGGCCACGUCCUCCAGCUUCGACUUGGAAAUAGCUACUCGUACUUUGAUCAGGAAUUUUAUACUGGUCGGAUAACAUCUUUGGAUGGCCAGAUAAGUCCAUCUCUAUUUUCUUUGGAGCAUUUGGAGCACCUUGAUCUCGCCUGCAAUUUUCCGUAUAUAUGUAGCAAUUGCGGUCAUGUUCCAAAACUAUGGGGCUCUCUAAAAAACUUGAGAUACCUGAACCUCCCAUGUACAAGUCGAUGA
rnacentral:rRNA from 1 species